CUCUCUUCACACUUCCUCUACGCAGAUGGCACCAGCAGAUUCCUCUUUGGAGGCCUUUCAGCAAGUGACCCUGAAGCAACAGAAACCCACUUCCCACUGAUGCAUGUCUGCUGUUUUCCCAUGAAAAGCAAAUGGUAUUUUUCCUUCAACUAUAGUGGCUCCAGAAAUGUCAGUAUAGGAAGCCUUCAGCCAGCGGACUGCAUUUCUUUUCAAAAGCAUAAGGUUAGUGAGUGUGGUGAGAAUCAUUAGGAGCUUGUAAGUCUGAAGGAACCUCAGAUCCAUCUGCUGGACUAUUUGCUCAAUGACUCACAGGAGGGUGAAAGGUUGAAUUACCUUCAUUCAAGAAAAUAGAUAGUUCUUUCCAAGACUCCAUGCAUCGAAGUGAUUGAUCCCUUCUACAAACAGACCCUGAAAUUGGCUUCCAAGACAUUAUAAAUUCCCCAGAGGAUGAAGACAUAAUCUGAAUGUGCAGAAGACUUCGAAGACUUCUCUUGCCUGCAGAUUGGUAUGGCAACCUACUAAGCUGCUAAGGGGAAAGAGUUUCCAUGAACAUUCCUGCUUUAGCAGGAGGAGCACUAAUACACAUUUUAAGUCUGAAAUAGAAAUUGUUAUAAAGUUUCCAGCCAACAGUUUUGUUUCUCCAAGGGACGCGGUACAAGUCCACAGG
ensembl:lncRNA